rnacentral:rRNA from 1 species
GACGAACGCUGGCGGCGUGCUUAACACAUGCAAGUCGAGCGGUAAGGCCCUUUCGGGGGUACACGAGCGGCGAACGGGUGAGUAACACGUGGGUGACCUGCCCUCAGCUCUGGGAUAAGCCUGGGAAACCGGGUCUAAUACUGGAUAUGACUCCAUGACGCAUGUUGUGGGGUGGAAAGCCUUGUGCGGCUGAGGAUGGGCCCGCGGCCUAUCAGCUUGUUGGUGGGGUGANGGCCUACCAAGGCGACGACGGGUAGCCGGCCUGAGAGGGCGACCGGCCACACUGGGACUGAGACACGGCCCAGACUCCUACGGGAGGCAGCAGUGGGGAAUCUUGCGCAAUGGGCGAAAGCCUGACGCAGCGACGCCGCGUGAGGGAUGACGGCCUGGUUGUAACGUACUU